AUACGUAGGGGGCGAGCGUUGUCCGGAAUGAUUGGGCGUAAAGGGCGCGUAGGCGGCCCGGUAAGUCUGGAGUGAAAGUCCUGUUUUUAAGAUGGGAAUUGCUUUGGAUACUGUCGGGCUUGAGUGCAGGAGAGGUAAGUGGAAUUCCCAGUGUAGCGGUGAAAUGCGUAGAGAUUGGGAGGAACACCAGUGGCGAAGGCGACUUACUGGACUGUAACUGACGCUGAGGCGCGAAAGUGUGGGGAGCAAACAGGAUUAGAUACCCUGGUAGUCCACACUGUAAACGAUGAAUGCUAGGUGUAGGGGGUAUCGACCCCUUCUGUGCCGCAGUUAACACAAUAAGCAUUCCGCCUGGGGAGUACGGCCGCAAGGUUGAAACUUAAAGGAAUUGACGGGG
rnacentral:rRNA from 1 species